rnacentral:rRNA from 1 species
GUGUCAGCAGCCGCGGUAAUACGUAGGGGGCAAGCGUUGUCCGGAAUUAUUGGGCGUAAAGAGCGCGUAGGCGGUCCGGUAAGUCGGUUGUGAAAGUCGGGGGCUCAACCCUCGGAUGCCGAUCGAUACUGUCGGGCUAGAGUCCGGAAGAGGCGAGUGGAAUUCCUGGUGUAGCGGUGAAAUGCGCAGAUAUCAGGAGGAACACCAAUGGCGAAGGCAGCUCGCUGGGACGGUACUGACGCUGAGGCGCGAAAGCGUGGGGAGCAAACAGGAUUAGAAACCCCCGUAGUCC